AACGAACGCUGGCGGCGUGGAUAAGACAUGCAAGUCGAGCGCUGAUUUGAAGGUAGCAAUAUUUUCAAGUCGGAGCGGCGCAAGGGUGCGUAACACGUGGGAAUCUGCCUUGAAGUGUGGGAUAACUCCGAGAAAUCGGAGCUAAUACCGCAUGUGAUUGUAAAAUUAAAGUUGGGGAUCGUAAGACCUGACGCUUCAAGAUGAGCCCGCGGCCUAUCAGCUAGUUGGUGAGGUAAUGGCUCACCAAGGCUAAGACGGGUAGCUGGUCUGAGAGGACGACCAGUCACACUGGAACUGAGACACGGUCCAGACACCUACGGGUGGCAGCAGUCGAGAAUUUUUCUCAAUGGGCGAAAGCCUGAAGGAGCGACGCCGCGUGGGGGAUGAAUGGCUUCGGCCCGUAAACCCCUGUCCAUUUGCGAACAAAUUGCUUCAACUAACACGUGAAGUAUUGAUUGUAGCGGAAGAGGAAGGGACGGCUAACUCUGUGCCAGCAGCCGAC
rnacentral:rRNA from 1 species